UUCUACACCCUGCUCUUAUCAUGCAAAUUAUGCAAAACCUUUCAAAUUGCACACAUGUCUAAUGCUGUGGCCAUUUCAAAACACUUUUGCAUGUUCUUUAAAAAGUCUACCCUCCCUUUUCCUUGAAAAGUUUGCUUUAAGAUAACCGCCACAGCUGACUUCAUGUGAUUUCUUUUGGUUCGGAAAACCCACUUUGCAGGCAUACAUGAACACACAGUGUGUGUUUUGUCCUACUCAACUUUACUGCUCUCCUCCCCUCCUUCUUCCCAUCACACGCACUGAACAAGUGCACUGGUGCAGGAAGAUGUUUGCUCAGCACAUUUCAAUAUGAACAUUAUACUACUCUAUCUAGCUUCCAUUCAUUUCCCUGUCAUAAACUAUCUGCAGCCAGCAGUUUUUAUUCAUGAACACCAUGAAGAAAAAUCCCCCCUGAAACUCAAAUGCCAUUAUCAGGAAAACAGAUCGAGGUUGGUUGUAGCAUGUCUUUUUUUAUUACGAUUAAACUCAUCAGUAUUUCACCUUUGCCAUGUUGCAUGGCUACUUUUCAUUUUCAUUCAUAUUUUUGAUUUAAGUUCUUAUACAUACAUGAAUGUCUUAGUAAAUAAAGUGAUAUUGAAACAUUUAUUUAUUUAGUCAUUAAACAAUCAUUGUCAUUAUCUUUAAAAUUAAAGAAACAUAAUUGGCUCGACUGAGACAAGUGCCCAAAUUAAAUGAUGUAAUUUAGUUGGAGCAUUAUGAGUCCAAAGAUGUGAGCUUUCCACAUCAACAAGUGUCCGAACACAGUGUAUGGGAAGGUUUCUGUGCACAGUCAUGCCUUUGUAGUUUUGGCACCAGGCCAGUUUUUUUUUUUUUGGUCUGUCUUUUCCCCCUUUUUUCCUCCUUCUUCUCCUCCUCCUCCUCCAAGCCAAUCUGCUCUACAUUUGCCAUUAUUAUGUGCUUGCCAUUCAGAUGGCAUAUCAGAGGAAGGUGCCAGGUGCCGUUUACCCCUCUCUCUCUCUCUUUCUCUUACUCCUCCUCCUCCUCACACCCCUCUCAUCACAUCACUGUUUCCACUCCUGCUUUGGCACAGAGUUCUCUAAAGGGUCCAGGUGGCAUCUUGCCCCGUUCUGCUCUUGGAGUCAGAAACAGAAGACAAAAAAAACAAAACAGCAAAUAAAAAAGUCUUGAUAAAGAGGAUACACUUCCUUUCACAUCCUGUUUGGAGCAUGUUGUGCUUCCUAUGCCCACGGGCUACAUGUUGUUGUUGUUAAAUUCCAUCUCUCCACGUCUUUGGGUAGUUGUUGCUGUUUGAGAUCAAAGACGUAGACCAUCUUCAAAUCGUGGAACUUUUUGGGUUUUUUUUUUAUUUAUUUAUUUAUUUUUUUUGCUAUUGGCGGGACCCUGGUACGUUUCAUAUGCCCACACACACAUUUACACACAUAAAAAUGCACGUAGAUCCAGCAGAGUGCUUCUCUCAGAGCUCCCUGCCACCUCGUCUGCCUUCUGCCUCUGAAGAACUGGGAACACAAUGGGAUCUACCAGGAACUUUUGACUCACACGCAUACAGACACGCGUCGGAUUUAAUUUGCACGUGCACUCAGCAGUCGUUUGAGGCUUCAGGAAAGUGAAUAAUCAAUUGAAUAUUGAUUCCUUGUAAGAUUUUGUACAUUUCCGAGCCGAAGACAAAGAGGGUAGCUUAAGGAUAGUCGCUGCGAGCAAGAGGAGCUGCAAAUUAGCCCGUAAACACAGACAGUGGACUAAACGAAGAUGAAGAGAUGGCGAAUGGGCAAAUAAGCUUUAAACACAGGAGCUGCAGGAGAAGAUAUAGUGACAGGAGGACAUGGUAAUUAGGGAGUCUGUAACGCACACCUCAUCGUUAUGGGGAGUAUGCAAAUUAAUCGGCUGGCUCUUUUCUCUUUGUCGUGGAUCAGAAGGCAAGUGCUGCAGAGGAGAAUUAAGAGCUAUUAUUCUACGAAAGGAGUGGUGGGUGUAUGCAAACGAGAGACGAAAAGAGGAGAGCAAAGAACACUGUAACAAUGGAGAUAUGCACUGGACUUUACUGCAAAGACGAUUUCCAGUAAAAUCACAUAAAUAGACUCGUACUAUUCCUCACAUGCUGGGAGAUGCGUCUACAUUUGCGCUGAAAAUGGUUAGGAGAACUUGGCAAUCAGACAAGCACCUUCGUUCCCUAUUAUGCCUCUCUGUGCAUAUUGAUAGGCUGCUCUGUGGAUGAUAAUUACCUUUUUGAAUACCGAAUCGCAAAACGAGCAUAGGAAUGAAGAAACGAGAAGAAAGAGCGAGUAAAAAA